rnacentral:lncRNA from 1 species
AUGGACCGCGCAGAUGAAGGGCCUCCGGCCAAGGCCCGCCGCCUUAGUGGCUCUGAGCCCCCUCAGAGCGAGCUGCUGCCGCCGCCGCCGCCGCCUCCUCCUCCUCCUCCUCCUCUCCUGCGCCUGCCCCUGCCUCCACCUCAGCAGCGCCCGAGGCUCCAGGAGGAAACCGAGGCGGCACAGGUGCUGGCUGACAUGAUGGGGGUGGGACUGGGCCCCGCUCUGCCCCCGCCUCCGCCCUAUGUCAUUCUCGAGGAGGGGGGUAUCCGCGCGUACUUCACCCUGGGGGCUGGGGGUCCCGACUGGGAGCCCGCAGUCGAGUCAGGGUACGGGGGGUCGCCCCCUCUCGCGGAGAGCCUAGAAACGCUCUCUCCCUCAGAGGUUUCUGGGGGAAGCCUGGAGAUUGACUUCCAGGUGACGGAGCCCAGCAGCUUCGCAGGAGAGAAGGCCCUAGAAACCUGUAGCGCAGGGGGGCGGGGGUACCAGAGGUUAGCCGGUCCAAGGGGGAGAGAAGAGACCGUCAUCAUCGUGGAAGACGACGACGAGGAUGAAAAGGAGAGCGUGAGGAAGAGGAGGAGGAGGAGGAAGAGAAAGCCCAGGAAGGUGAAGAGGGAAAGCCCAGAGAAGAAUGCUGAGAAGAUAGAGUGCAUCCUGCAGGCUCUGGAAAACAUUCAACUAGACCUGGAGGCGGUGAAUAUCAAGGCAGGAAAGGCCUUCCUCCGUCUCAAGCGCAAGUUCAUCCAGAUGCGGAGACCCUUCCUGGAGCGCAGAGAUCUUAUCAUCCAGCAUAUCCCAGGCUUCUGGGUCAAAGCAUUCCUCAACCACCCCAAAAUUUCAAUCUUGAUCAACCAACGUGAUGAAGACAUUUUCCGCUACUUGACCAACCUGCAGGUACAGGAUCUCAGACAUAUCUCCAUGGGCUACAAAAUGAAGCUGUACUUCCAGACAAACCCCUACUUCACAAAUAUGGUGAUUGUCAAGGAGUUCCAGCGCAACCGCUCAGGCCGGCUGGUGUCUCACUCCACCCCAAUUCGCUGGCACCGGGGCCAGGAACCUCAGGCCCACAGGCAUGGGAACCAGGACGCCAGCCACAGCUUCUUCAGCUGGUUCUCAAACCAUAGCCUCCCAGAGGCUGACAGGAUUGCUGAGAUUAUCAAGAAUGACCUGUGGGUUAACCCUGUGCGUUACUACAUGAUGGGAGAAGGGGGCUACAGAACAAGCAGAAAGAAGCAAGAAAAAGAAGAAAGUAAAAACAAGGAUGAAUAUGAAGUGGUGAUCGUGGAAGACUCUGAUGACUAUCACAUCAUGGAAGACAUUAUUGGAGAGACCUCAGACAGUGAUGGUAUCACUGACAAUGAGACCAUUCAUGACGUCAAGAUCUCUGACUUCAUGGAGACUACUGACUGCUUCGAGACCACUGACAACGAGAUAACUGACAUCAGUGAGAGCCUCUGUGACAGCGAGUGCCCUGGCCACAAUGAGACCACCGACAACAAUGAAAGCCCCAAUGACAAUGAAACCACUGAUAACAAUGAGAGUGCUGAUGACAACAGUGAGAACCCUGAAGAUGACAACACUGAUGAGAACGAAGAGAACCCUGAUGACAACAAUGAGAAUGCUGAUGAGAACCCCAAUGGUGAUGAUGAGAACCCCAAAGAUGGGAACCAAAGGAGCAGUGUCAACAACCAGGACAGCAGUGACAGUGACAAUGAAGGAGACAAUGAUGGCAGUGAUAUUGAAGAUAAUGAUGGCAAUGAAGGUGACAAUGAAGGUAGUGAUGAUGAUGGCAACGAAGGUGACAAUGAAGGCAGCGAUGAUGAUGACAGAGACAUUGAAGACUACGAGAAUUACCUUGAAGACUCUGACAAGGAUCAGGAUGACUAUGAGGACGAAGUAGAGAACAUCUCUGAAGAAUCGUCAGUGGAGGAAGAGGAGGAGGGCAGUGAGGAAGGCAGUGAGCAAGGUGAGAACAGCAAUGAUGAAGGAAUUGAAGAAGACUCAGGAGAGGAAGACUCAGAAGACUCCGACAUGGAGAAGGUGCUUCAGGUCCAAAACCCUUGGGCCAUCCCGGGAAAGAGGGGCAAAAUGGGAUAA